UCUUAGAGAGGGGGAAAAAAAAAUAAAGCCUGCUGGGUAGCCAGGAUCCUGCAGGAAAGAAAACACUGAAUGUUGCCAUCUGGAUUCUCCUUAGACCCCAUGCCCACAGAGCCUCACAGUCAAAAACCUCUGGCUUCUACUCACCUGACGCCUGCUGCUGGUGACCCCAGGAUGCCUGGCCAUCCACCUCCUCCAGAGAUACCCUCAGAAGUGGGAGCUUGUGACCCGGAGAAGCCCGAGAGCACCAGAGCUGCCAGCAGCAGCUCCCCUGGAUCGCCGGUGGCCUCUAGCCCCAGCAAACAGAGUCCUGCCCCAG
rnacentral:lncRNA from 1 species